rnacentral:lncRNA from 1 species
UCUCUUGGAGCUCUAGCUCACCUCUCUGGUGUUGUUUUUGUAUUCAUCUGAUUAAUCUAGUUCUUUCCAGUUCUUCUUCUUGUUCAAUCUCGAGUCUGUAUUUUUGUGUCUGUGACACUUUGUCGAGACUUCACUCACCUCAUAUAUCAGAGCUAGUUUCUUCCUUGUUAGAGUGUGGAAUACUCCUCUGUUUGGAAGUCUAUUAGCAUUUUAGAGGUUGCGGAUUACCCUCCUCUAAAUUGAUACUUCUUUUGUUACAAUAUUGGAGUCUUAUUCUUCUUGGAGAGAGUGGAUUACUCCUUUUCUUGAAGCUCCUAAGGUAUUUUAGAGGUUGCGGAGUACCUUCCUCUAAACCAAUAUUUUCUUCUUGUAGAG